CAGGUAGAGAAUACCGAGGCGAUCGGGCGAACUGUGGUUAAGGAACUCGGCAAAUUACCCCCGUAACUUCGGGAGAAGGGGGGCCACAGACCGUGAAACCCCAUGCGGGUGGCAGCGGUAGGUGGCCGCAGAGACCAGGGGGAAGCGACUGUUUACUAAAAACACAGGUCCGUGCGAAGUCGUAAGACGAUGUAUACGGACUGACGCCUGCCCGGUGCUGGAACGUUAAGGGGACCGGUUAGUCCGCAAGGGCGAAGCUGAGAACUUAAGCGCCAGUAAACGGCGGUGGUAACUAUAACCAUCCUAAGGUAGCGAAAUUCCUUGUCGGGUAAGUUCCGACCUGCACGAAUGGCGUAACGACUUCCCUACUGUCUCGACCACAGGCCCGGCGAAAUUGCACUACGAGUAAAGAUGCUCGUUACGCGCGGAAGGACGGAAAGACCCCGGGACCUUCACUAUACCUUGACAUUGGUACUCGAAUUGAAUUGUGUAGGAUAGGUGGGAGACUAUGAAGCUCGGACGCCAGUCCGGGUGGAGUCAACGUUGAAAUACCACUCUGUUGAAUUUGGGUAUCUAACUUCGGACCGUGAUCCGGUUCAGGGACAGUGUCUGGUGGGUAGUUUAACUGGGGCGGUUGCCUCCUAAAAUGUAACGGAGGCGCCCAAAGGUUCCCUCAGCCUGGCUGGCAAUCAGGUGUUGAGUGCAAGUGCACAAGGGAGCUUGACUGUGAGACUGACAGGUCGAGCAGGGACGAAAGUCGGGACUAGUGAUCCGGCACCGGCGAGUGGAAGCGGUGUCGCUCAACGGAUAAAAGGUACCCCGGGGAUAACAGGCUGAUCUUCCCCAAGAGUCCAUAUCGACGGGAUGGUUUGGCACCUCGAUGUCGGCUCGUCGCAUCCUGGGGCUGGAGUAGGUCCCAAGGGUUGGGCUGUUCGCCCAUUAAAGCGGCACGCGAGCUGGGUUUAGAACGUCGUGAGACAGUUCGGUCCCUAUCCUCCGCGCGCGCAGGAGACUUGAGAAGAGCUGUCCCUAGUACGAGAGGACCGGGACGGACGAACCUCUGGUGUGCCAGUUGUCAUGCCAAUGGCACGGCUGGUUAGCUGCGUUCGAAAGGGAUAACCGCUGAAAGCAUCUAAGCGGGAAGCCUGCUUCAAGAUGAGGUCUCCCUCCCCUCGAGGGUUAAGGCCCCCAGCAAGACCACUGGGUUGAUAGGCCAGAAGUGUAAGCCUGGUAACAGGUUCAGCCGACUGGUACUAAUAGGCCGAGGACUUCACC
rnacentral:rRNA from 1 species